CGCAAUUAAUAUAUCAUUCUGACCCGUUUCAAACCCAUCAGUGCUCUCACGCAGGUUGGGCGCGUCAAGAAGUAAAAGAACAACAUCCAACCAAUUUUAAAACGACAUUUGACAUUUCCAAUUUGAAUUAGUUUCCUCACUAAAUAGAUCCACUCCUUCCUUCCCAAAAUUCUCAAUUGUUAGCCGCUGGAGAUUGCAAUUUCUCAUUUUGAUUCUUUUUUUUAAAAAAAAAAAGACUGUGAAAUCAAUUUCCUGUGAUUAAGUUUUGAGAGAGAGAGAUGUCAAAUGCAAGCUUGAAUCGCAUUUGUAAUGAUGUGAACGAUCCAGUGUUGCAUUUAACGAUGCGAUGUAACAUGGAGACUUGAUGCAAUUGCAGACUUUGUGGUCUGAGACAACCCAGGAAAAUUCAUGCAAGUACUCUAGAUGGAGGGAUCUUCAGGAGAUCGAUAUCCGAUUCAAGUCUGUUAUCCAAGAUUGGCAAAUAGAAUUAAGGAAUUGGAAGAAGCAUUAUAAUUCUAUAAAAUUAAAGAGAAGAAGAUGAAAUUGUUGGAGAAGAAAGGUGAUCAAAUAUGUCAUGAUAAGCUAAUCAAGAAGAAGAUGAUGAAAUGUAGCAUCUUGAAUUGGAAGCUUAUCAUAGUGUUUGUCGCAGUGUUUUUUCUGAUUUUAGGCAUUAAAAGAAUGUGAAUGUUGGAAGAUGUAGUUGUAUGCCAUUGGAAUUGCCUUAGUUGUUGUUUGUUGUUUUCGUUUAUGUUUGGUUGUUUAAUACAUUGGAAGUUUGUCUGGUUUAAGGAAACCUUAUUUGGUUGUGUAAUACAUUGUUGUUGUCGUUGAUGUUUGGUUGUGUAAUACAUCUAUGUUGUAUGAUAUCUUAUGAUCAUUUAACAAUAUACAACGUUGUAAUCUCUUCUA